UGCAGAGGGUGCAAGCGUUGUUCGGAAUUAUUGGGCGUAAAGGGCGCGUAGGCGGUUCGGCAAGUCUCUAGUGAAAUCUCUGGGCUCAACUCAGAGUCUGCUGGGGAAACUGCCGGGCUUGAGUGUGGGAGAGGAGAGUGGAAUUCCCGGUGUAGCGGUGAAAUGCGUAGAUAUCGGGAAGAACACCCGUGGCGAAGGCGGCUCUCUGGGACGGUACUGACGCUGAGACGCGAAAGCGUGGGGAGCGAACAGG
rnacentral:rRNA from 1 species